UUAAGGCAAAAAAAAUUUACUAUCAUAGUAUUACAAUCAUAUUAAUAUAUGAUGCUUAAUAUAAGCGCUUUUUAUUUUCAGCUGAGUUCAUUUGUAAUAAAAAUAAACGAAAUGCUAUUUAUAAUAUAAGCGCUUUUUAUUUUCAGAUGUACCUCUAACAUUUCUAAAAAUAGAUAAAUGCUAUUUGUACACUCCAUCUACCCUAGGAUAAAAUUGCUUUAAAAAAUAAUAUAUAAAAAUAUACAGAGCAUACUGAAUUAUAAAUCAUUUUGUGUCGGCUAUCUAAUAUUUUAAAAUUUUAAUUUUACUAUCCAUUCUUUAAAUUUGUUUGGUUUGAGUCAGUCAAUAGCACUUUGACUCAAAAUUUAAGUUAAUUGUUUAUUUUAAUAAAUUUAUAGUUACAAGAAUUAUAUAAAGUAUACUAAUUAAAUAUGUGAAGAUAAAUAAUAUAUUUAAAAUUUGAGGUCAAAUUGCCCUUGACAGAUUAAAAUCAAAUAAAUAAAAAGAUUGGAUAGUAAAAUCAAACUUUUGAAAAAUUGAAAAGUCAACUCAAAAUUGUUCACAAUUCAGAUAAAUUCGGAACAUUUUUUACCC
rnacentral:lncRNA from 1 species